GGAUGUGGGGGUGAUCUGGCUACCAACCUCUGCCACCCCACUGACUGCCAGGGUUGAUUCUCCUGGUCUGUCUGGCUUGCCCUUCUUCCCUCGUGGCUCCCUGUCUGUUUUCCCCAAAACUACAACCUUCCAGGAAAAGAGGAGGCUCCAUUUCCAAUCUUCAACCAAGGGUAUAAAAUUCGCUGUCUUCUCCAGCUAGAACCUCCAAACAAGCUCUCAAGAAUGGUUUGGUGGAGUUGAAGUGGAUACAGAAGAAGUGUAGUAAUAGGAGCGGCGGGGCUGCAUCCCUAGCAC
rnacentral:snRNA from 1 species